AGAGUUUGAUCCUGGCUCAGGAUGAACGCUGGCGGCGUGCUUAACACAUGCAAGUCGAACGAAGAUAUUUAGAAUGAGAGCUUCGGCAGGAUUUUUAUCUAUCUUAGUGGCGGACGGGUGAGUAACGUGUGGGCAACCUGCCCUGUACUGGGGAAUAAUCAUUGGAAACGAUGACUAAUACCACAUGUGGUCCUCGGAAGGCAUCUUCUGAGGAAGAAAGGAUUUAUUCGGUACAGGAUGGGCCCGCAUCUGAUUAGCUAGUUGGUGAGAUAACAGCCCACCAAGGCGACGAUCAGUAGCCGACCUGAGAGGGUGAUCGGCCACAUUGGGACUGAGACACGGCCCAAACUCCUACGGGAGGCAGCAGUGGGGAAUAUUGCACAAUGGGCGAAAGCCUGAUGCAGCAACGCCGCGUGAAGGAUGAAGGGUUUCGGCUCGUAAACUUCUAUCAAUAGGGAAGAAACAAAUGACGGUACCUAAAUAAGAAGCCCCGGCUAACUACGUGCCAGCAGCCGCGGUAAUACGUAGGGGGCAAGCGUUAUCCGGAAUUACUGGGUGUAAAGGGAGCGUAGGCGGCACGGUAAGCCAGAUGUGAAAGCCUUGGGCUUAACCCGAGGAUUGCAUUUGGAACUAUCAAGCUAGAGUACAGGAGAGGAAAGCGGAAUUCCUAGUGUAGCGGUGAAAUGCGUAGAUAUUAGGAAGAACACCAGUGGCGAAGGCGGCUUUCUGGACUGAAACUGACGCUGAGGCUCGAAAGCGUGGGGAGCAAACAGGAUUAGAUACCCUGGUAGUCCACGCCGUAAACGAUGAGUGCUAGGUGUCGGGGGGAAGGAAUCCUCGGUGCCGCAGCUAACGCAAUAAGCACUCCACCUGGGGAGUACGACCGCAAGGUUGAAACUCAAAGGAAUUGACGGGGGCCCGCACAAGCGGUGGAGCAUGUGGUUUAAUUCGAAGCAACGCGAAGAACCUUACCAAGGCUUGACAUCCCGAUGACCGCUCUAGAGAUAGAGCUUCUCUUCGGAGCAUCGGUGACAGGUGGUGCAUGGUUGUCGUCAGCUCGUGUCGUGAGAUGUUGGGUUAAGUCCCGCAACGAGCGCAACCCUUAUCUUCAGUAGCCAUCAUUCAGUUGGGCACUCUGGAGAGACUGCCGUGGAUAACACGGAGGAAGGUGGGGAUGACGUCAAAUCAUCAUGCCCCUUAUGUCUUGGGCUACACACGUGCUACAAUGGCUGGUAACAAAGUGAUGCGAGACGGCGACGUUAAGCAAAUCACAAAAACCCAGUCCCAGUUCGGAUUGUAGUCUGCAACUCGACUACAUGAAGCUGGAAUCGCUAGUAAUCGCGAAUCAGCAUGUCGCGGUGAAUACGUUCCCGGGCCUUGCACACACCGCCCGUCA
rnacentral:rRNA from 1 species